UAACGCGUGGAUAACCUGCCUUGCACUGGGGGAUAACACUUAGAAAUAGGUGCUAAUACCGCAUAAGCGCACAGAGCCGCAUGGCUCAGUGUGAAAAACUCCGGUGGUGUAAGAUGGAUCCGCGUCUGAUUAGCUAGUUGGCGGGGUAGAAGCCCACCAAGGCGACGAUCAGUAGCCGGCCUGAGAGGGUGAACGGCCACAUUGGGACUGAGACACGGACCAAACUCCUACGGGAGGCAGCAG
rnacentral:rRNA from 1 species